rnacentral:rRNA from 1 species
GAUGAACGCUGGCGGCGUGCCUAAUACAUGCAAGUCGAGCGAACGGACGAGAAGCUUGCUUCUCUGAUGUUAGCGGCGGACGGGUGAGUAACACGUGGAUAACCUACCUAUAAGACUGGGAUAACUUCGGGAAACCGGAGCUAAUACCGGAUAAUAUUUUGAACCGCAUGGUUCAAAAGUGAAAGACGGUCUUGCUGUCACUUAUAGAUGGAUCCGCGCUGCAUUAGCUAGUUGGUAAGGUAACGGCUUACCAAGGCAACGAUGCAUAGCCGACCUGAGAGGGUGAUCGGCCACACUGGAAAUGAGACACGGUCCAGACUCCUACGGGAGGCAGCAGUAGGGAAUCUUCCGCAAAGGGCGAAAGCCUGACGGAGCAACGCCGCGUGAGUGAUGAAGGUCUUCGGAUCGUAAAACUCUGUUAUUAGGGAAGAACAUAUGUGUAAGUAACUGUGCACAUCUUGACGGUACCUAAUCAGAAAGCCACGGCUAACUACGUG